rnacentral:rRNA from 1 species
GAGUUUGAUUAUGGCUCAGAUUGAACGCUGGCGGCAGGCCUAACACAUGCAAGUCGAACGGUAACAUGACUAGCUUGCUAGUUGAUGACGAGUGGCGGACGGGUGAGUAACGCGUAGGAAUCUACCCAGUAGCGGGGGAUAAGCCAGAGAAAUUUGGUCUAAUACCGCAUACGCCCUUCGGGGGAAAGCAGGGGAUCUUCGGACCUUGCACUAUUGGAUGAGCCUGCGUGAGAUUAGCUUGUUGGUGAGGUAAUGGCUCACCAAGGCGACGAUCUCUAGCUGGUCUGAGAGGAUGAUCAGCCACACUGGAACUGAGACACGGUCCAGACUCCUACGGGAGGCAGCAGUGGGGAAUAUUGCACAAUGGGCGCAAGCCUGAUGCAGCCAUGCCGCGUGUGUGAAGAAGGCCCUAGGGUCGUAAAGCACUUUCAGCAGUGAGGAAAGGUUAGUAGUUAAUACCUGCUAGCUGUGACGUUAACUGCAGAAGAAGCACCGGCUAACUCCGUGCCAGCAGCCGCGGUAAUACGGAGGGUGCGAGCGUUAAUCGGAAUUACUGGGCGUAAAGCGCGCGUAGGUGGAUUGGUCAGUCAGAUGUGAAAGCCCAGGGCUCAACCUUGGAACUGCACCUGAUACUGCUAAUCUAGAAUACGGUAGAGGGUAGUGGAAUUUCCUGUGUAGCGGUGAAAUGCGUAGAUAUAGGAAGGAACACCAGUGGCGAAGGCGACUACCUGGACCGAUAUUGACACUGAGGUGCGAAAGCGUGGGGAGCAAACAGGAUNAGAUACCCUGGUAGUCCACGCCGUAAACGAUGUCUACUAGCCGUUGGGGGACUUGAUCUUUNGUGGCGCAGCUANCGCGAUAAGUANACCCCUGGGGAGUACGGCCCCAGGGUNAAACUCAAAUGAAUNGACGGGGGCCCCCCAANCGGNG